CCGAUCCAGAUCCCCUCCACCGCGGGCCACCCACCCACCGCGGACGGCGAUCUCUCAUCCACAGCCGCACCCACCGCCGACGCCGACGCCCCCAUCCUCUCCCCCCUCCUUCUCUCCCUGGCGGCGGCCACAUCGGGGGCUCCUGGAUCCGCGCCGCCGUCGAGCUGGGCCGCCAAGGUCAGCUCCUUCCCCACAACCACCGUCGCCGCAGGGAGGAGGUGAUUGACGGGGCAGCCACCAUCGAGCUCACCCCGUCUACUUCUUCUCGGGACGCCGCGCUCCUUCUCCGCAACCACCGCCGCCGCCGCUGCAGGGAGACGAGGAUUGACGGGGUCGCCACCAUGCAACCUCCCCCGCGUACCUCUUCUCGGGACUCCCCCUCCAUGGAGCUCCGACCCCACCGCCGCCUCCAUGGAUGGACCAUCUCAAGUUAUACAUGGAGAUCUAAGUGCCUUUCAGGAGGAAAUACAAUCAGUUCACCAUGUUGUCCGCACUCUGGAAACAAAGCUUGGACGCCUUGCAUAUACUCAAGAUCACACAACACGAGGAAUACAUGAGUUAUGUGAGUUCAG